CCGGGUGGCUCACGGAGACUCCGCCCCUCGGGCGAUUUGUCAGCUCCUCCGCACUUGGAGGUCCACCCAGGCGAUGCAGGGCACCCGAAAUCUGAUGGGGUGAUGUCGGUAGCCGGCAAAAUCCAGUUCACGUUCAUUCAUAUUCUUUCUCCCUCUCUUCUUCUCUCUGUGUGUGUCUGUCUUCGUCUCUGUCCCUCUCCCUCCUUUCUUUCAUUCAUUCCGUUGUUUAGCUCAGCUGUCUGCUCCGCUGGGUGCUUAGAUCCACGCGGCAUUUACAGAGCUUCAAAAUAAUCGCCCAGUACAAAUUGCCGAGGGUAUCCUUGGAGCACAUUUGGGGGAGAUCUAAUUAGGUGGAUGGUGGGAAGGUUAGGGGAGAGCAUUGAAUUCGCGACCAGUCUGUUUAGAGGAGUAAACCUCCAGGGUGGCCGGGGCUCGGUAGACAGGUGGGUGCCUGACCAGAACUGGGAACUGAUGUGCAGAGCAGAGCCUGUAAGAGAGGCUUAAGCGACAGUGUCCUUAGAGUCCCAAAAGCUUCAUACCGACCAAUGACUGAUCGGCCUCUGCGAGAUGAUGGGAAAGUCUUGAGAGAGGCAUCAUGGGCCGCUGAAGUGUUCAGAGAUUAUUGCUGAGUUCAGCUGGGAUACCGGCCGUGAAACUGGGCAGAGAAAGGGUAAAAUACUUGUUUUAAUGAUCAUCUCCUUUAGGUUGCCCUAACUGUCCUCUGCGGGGCCACAACCUUAGCACCAUCUCGCGGCCUCUGGGAAUUAUUACACCUAGAGGUGCAAUGGGGGAGGGAGACUCUAAGUGGCUAAGGAACGUGAGCCCCUCCAAGGCCACGUGAUCUUUGGAAUCCUCUCCACUCCCCAACUCCAACUGUGCGCUGGCAGGAAAGAAAUGUCUCCAUAAGAAAAACCACAAGAACCAGUGAUGGCGGAUAAAGGUGCUUGCUGCUAGCCUCAAGACCAAAGCUCAUCUUAUUUUCCAGACACUCAAGCUUUUGUUCUACAGCUGUCCUUGCUGCUCCAGAAUAGCUGACUCUCUACCUUCCGGAUAAUUGUCCCGUCUCCAUUGCAAGCGCAUCAGCCCUUUUGUAGUGAUAUUUUGUUUGUGUUUUAACAAAUAAAGUUUACCUGAAGAUCGGAGCGCAGAGCUAAGCCACUAGAG